rnacentral:rRNA from 1 species
AUGGUUAAGAGCGUCAGCGGCAACAUUCAGUGGUACUUCAAAAGGCAAAGGACAGAGGAAGUAGCAGAAGAUCCUCCAGCACAACAUUUACCUCUGCUUCUUGAAAUGGAACAACAUGAAAAUCAAGAUGAAGAGGCUCAAAUGAAUACUUCAUUUGCCCUUCCUGUUGUAUUUCGAGGUAUGGAACGCCAAGCAUUGUUGAAUCGGGCAGGCCAUUUGGAAAAUGUUGCAGCAGCAAAGGAUAAUGAAAAUGUAGAAAGAAACCAUUUCAGGCUAAAAUAUACUCCCUCCGUCCGUGAAUAA